UACGUAGGGUGCAAGCGUUGUCCGGAAUUAUUGGGCGUAAAGAGCUCGUAGGCGGUUUGUCGCGUCUGCUGUGAAAACUCGGGGCUUAACUCCGGGCCUGCAGUGGGUACGGGCAAACUAGAGUGCGGUAGGGGAGAUUGGAAUUCCUGGUGUAGCGGUGGAAUGCGCAGAUAUCAGGAGGAACACCGAUGGCGAAGGCAGAUCUCUGGGCCGUAACUGACGCUGAGGAGCGAAAGCAUGGGGAGCGAACAGG
rnacentral:rRNA from 1 species